UACGAAGGGGGCUAGCGUUGUUCGGAAUUACUGGGCGUAAAGGGCUCGUAGGUGGCCAACUAAGUCGGACGUGAAAUCCCUCAGCUUAACUGGGGAACUGCGUCCGAUACUGGAUGGCUUGAGUUUGGGAGAGGGAUGCGGAAUUCCAGGUGUAGCGGUGAAAUGCGUAGAUAUCUGGAGGAACACCGGUGGCGAAGGCGGCAUCCUGGACCAACACUGACACUGAGGAGCGAAAGCCAGGGGAGCAAACGGG
rnacentral:rRNA from 1 species